CUUGGGACCCACUGCUGGAUGAUCAGAGCCCUUGGCCUUUGGAGAUUAUUCUUCAGUGAGCUUGGCUUGCCCUGUCAUUCUUCCAGUGCAUUGUUCCUGGAUUUCUCAAUUCUGGUACCUCAAGGGAAACUAUGCCAUGUUAAAA